CGACAGGGUCCCCCCCCACACACACACACAGGAGAGGAGACAGAGGUCCAACCACAUAGAUAUAGUACGGACACCUGUGAUUGGACACACCUUCACCUGCCGUGUGGACGUGCAGCUCCUCGGUGGCUGGAUUAGGAUUAACUGUGUGUGCGCUCCUCACUCCUCACUCCUCCUGACACCGCUCAUUUCCGAGCCCAGCGUCUGACACUGCUCUCCAGAAUCAGAUAUUCCCCCAGGAGAGCUGCUGCCUCAGCCUAGAUGAACUCCAUCUUCGCUUUCAAUUUACUUCAAGCGAGGAGGAGAGAAAAGCGCGCAGACUGUGGCGCUGCUUCCUCCGCAGCUCCGCCGACAGAGGCUCCCGGGGCUUUGUUGUCAUUUAAUCCAGGCCUAUAUGACACACACAGCGUUUGUCUGACAUCGACACACAAUCCCGUAUAAGCCGCACAUGUGUAAUUUACUGAAAAGGAAACAUUAAGCAGAUUAAAAAAAAAAUCAGGCUUUAUACUAUUAGAGUUUUAGUCAAACGUGGUGAGACUGCAGCCUCAGGACCAUCCAUCCAUCCAUCCAACCAUCCAUCCAUCCAUCCAACCACGCCGAUUAGCGAGCACGUGUGGCAGGGGAAUCAUCUGCUCCUGCUUUAUUUUCAUUAUACACUUUUCCCCCGAAGAUCAUUCAAUUUAUUCAGCAAUUCAAUUACUGUGAUUGUUGAUAUCGAGACCUAGUAGCUGCCCGGGAUAAGAGUGCAGAUAAAAAUGCUCUUAACUUGUCAGCAAAGGGCAAGACAAUUAGAAUAAUUGACGGAUGCAAAAAAAAUAAUAAAUAAAUAAAAAAUGCAGAUAGAAAGAGAAAUGAUGUGAGGCCAGAUCAUGACAAAUGGAGACAAAAGUACCAUUUUUAGAAACAAAUAUCUUCCAACAUGGCCGCACAGACAAUGUAUGGGAUCAGGAAAAAAAAAUUGUAACGAAAACAGAGAGAAGCGUCCGAGUAACAUCGGCCUCUGUGGUUACUGAGACCCAACAAGAGAAGAAGAAGAUGAUGUUGAUCAGAUAAUAAUGCACAGACAGUAGGAGGUGAGAUGAGGAUGAGGGAUCUU